AUCGCUUCUCGGCCUUUUGGCUAAGAUCAAGUGUAGAAACCAUUAUUUACAGUAUGUAAACCACAAACUCUCAAUUCCCUCCAAAAAAUUCUCAAGACUGGAGAGUAACAUUUUUGGCAGUAUGUUUUGGUGUGUGAGAAACUGAGGUUCUCAGAAGUGAGCCAUUCCUUGGUUCUCUUAGAACCA